rnacentral:rRNA from 1 species
GUGGGGAAUAUUGGACAAUGGGCGAAAGCCUGAUCCAGCCAUGCCGCGUGUGUGAAGAAGGUCUUCGGAUUGUAAAGCACUUUAAGUUGGGAGGAAGGGCAGUAAGUUAAUACCUUGCUGUUUUGACGUUACCGACAGAAUAAGCACCGGCUAACUUCGUGCCAGCAGCCGCGGUAAUACGAAGGGUGCAAGCGUUAAUCGGAAUUACUGGGCGUAAAGCGCGCGUAGGUGGUUUUGUAAGUUGGAGAUGAAAUCCCCGGGCUCAACCUGGGAACUGCCUCCAAAACUGCAUGACUAGAGUACGGUAGAGGGUAGUGGAAUUUCCUGUGUAGCGGUGAAAUGCGUAGAUAUAGGAAGGAACACCAGUGGCGAAGGCGACUACCUGGACUGAUACUGACACUGAGGUGCGAAAGCGUGGGGAGCAAACAGGAUUAGAUACCCGAGUAGUCC